rnacentral:rRNA from 1 species
AACGAACGCUGGCGGCAGGCCUCAAACAUGCAAGUCUAGGGGGUGUAGCAAUACAUCACCGGCGGACGGGUGCGUAACGCGUGGGAAUAUACCUAUUGGUUCGGAACAACUGAGGGAAACUUCAGCUAAUACCGGAUACGUCCUUACGGAGAAAGAUUUAUCGCCAAUAGAUUAGCCCGCGUUCGAUUAGCUAGUUGGUGGGGUAACGGCCCACCAAGGCGACGAUCGAUAGCUGUUCUGAGAGGAAGAUCAGCCACACUGGGACUGAGACACGGCCCAGACUCCUACGGGAGGCAGCAGUUGGGAAUCUUGGACAAUGGGGGAAACCCUGAUCCAGCCAUGCCGCGUGAGUGAUGAAGGCCUUCGGGUUGUAAAACUCUUUCGUCGCACGACGAUAAUGACGGUAGUGCGAGAAGAAGCUCCGGCUAACUUCGUG